CCUGAGCGAUAAGUAUUAAAGUUAACAAUGAAUUAAUUUUAAAUAAAUGACUUUGAGACUUUUUGAGAAUUUUCGUAGAGAUAUAAAAUUACAAGAACGUUUCUGACGUAUGUAAAAUGUUAAUACAUUUGAUAAUUAGUUACGGCAACUUACGAUCCUUCCUUCGAAGUUAGCUCACGUAUCAUCGCUAGUGUAUUCUUUGCUUCUCUAUUUUCCUCCACUGUACACAUAAAAAGAUAAAAAGUUGAGUGUUUAGCAUUUCAUAUUGCAUAUCUUUAUAUUACUGGAUGAAAGAUCAAAUUUAUCUUUAUAAGUCGAGUUACAAGAGGCACCAUGAAAAAUGAAGAAUAGUUAAUUUGUCGAGAAUGAGGAACGUCGGUGAUUUUGAAAAUAUCUGUAAUUAAUUUAUAAUUAAAAUCUUACGUUGCAAUCGGCUUCGUACGGUGUCCAGCGGGAAGAAGGUUGCCAUAGCGAUAACGCUACCCUACAAAGGAAAUA